ACGGGGGGCGCAGCAGUGGGGAAUAUUGGACAAUGGGCGAAAGCCUGAUCCAGCCAUGCCGCGUGAGUGAUGAAGGCCUUAGGGUUGUAAAACUCUUUCAGUAGGGAAGAUAAUGACGGUACCUACAGAAGAAGCCCCGGCUAACUUCGUGCCAGCAGCCGCGGUAAUACGAAGGGGGCUAGCGUUGUUCGGAAUCACUGGGCGUAAAGCGCGCGUAGGCGGCUUGCCAAGUCAGGGGUGAAAUCCCGGGGCUCAACCCCGGAACUGCCUUUGAAACUGGCAAGCUAGAGUCCGGUAGAGGAUGGUAGAAUUCCUAGUGUAGAGGUGAAAUUCGUAGAUAUUAGGAGGAAUACCGGUGGCGAAGGCGGCCAUCUGGACCGGUACUGACGCUGAGGUGCGAAAGCGUGGGGAGCAAACAGGAUUAGAUACCCCGGUAGUC
rnacentral:rRNA from 1 species